CCUACGGGAGGCAGCAGUGGGGAAUAUUGCACAAUGGAGGAAACUCUGAUGCAGCAAUGCCGCGUGUGUGAAGAAGGCCUUAGGGUUGUAAAGCACUUUCAGACGCGAGGAAAAACUAACUAUUAAUACUAGUUAGUCUUGACGUUAACGUCAGAAGAAGCACCGGCUAACUCCGUGCCAGCAGCCGCGGUAAUA
rnacentral:rRNA from 1 species